rnacentral:rRNA from 1 species
UACGGAGGGGGCUAGCGUUGUUCGGAAUUACUGGGCGUAAAGCGCGCGUAGGCGGACCUGCAAGUCGGGGGUGAAAGCCCGAGGCUCAACCUCGGAACUGCCUUCGAUACUGCGGGUCUCGAGUCCGGGAGAGGUGAGUGGAAUUCCUAGUGUAGAGGUGAAAUUCGUAGAUAUUAGGAAGAACACCAGUGGCGAAGGCGGCCCACUGGUCCGGUACUGACGCUGAGGUGCGAAAGCGUGGGGAGCAAACAGG